UUUAUUGGAGAGUUUGAUCCUGGCUCAGGAUGAACGCUGGCGGCGUGCCUAAUACAUGCAAGUCGAGCGAAUGGAUUGAGAGCUUGCUCUCAAGAAGUUAGCGGCGGACGGGUGAGUAACACGUGGGUAACCUGCCCAUAAGACUGGGAUAACUCCGGGAAACCGGGGCUAAUACCGGAUAACAUUUUGAACUGCAUGGUUCGAAAUUGAAAGGCGGCUUCGGCUGUCACUUAUGGAUGGACCCGCGUCGCAUUAG
rnacentral:rRNA from 1 species